GUAAGAUUGGACUGAGGAAUGUGGAGGAGGGCUGUGAUGAGGUGUGGGAUGGGAAAGUCAUCAUCAGAUGCGUGGAGCUGGCAUAUCCUAGGCCAAUAGACAAGAUUAGGCAGAUUCCCAGCACCUGAUGAAUGGCCAGCUACAAUCAGAAUUACGAUUCUUCCCCGAAGAGCGGCCUAUGAUUUGUUUGGCAGAAGACUCAGAAUCGUGAUGAUGAUGAUUUGCACCGGCCUUUAGAAUGAUCACCCUGGGAUGUACAUGAAGAAUUGAUAAGGUCCUACGUUAGGACAGUUGCUGUGGGAAUGAAGAAGGAGGGAUGGAAUUGAGAGAUGUUUGAGAUCUAGAACAAACAGAACUUGACAACUGAAGAAAUGUGGGAAAUCACUUUCACUGCAGUCUGGAAAAUGGAGGGCAGGAGAGGCUACAGCCCUGGGGAAGGGGUGGUGAUGAGUCAGCUAUGAACCAGCCUCUCUGCCGUGCACCGGGAAUGUGCCAGGAGCCACUGUGCUUGAUAUUGUGGGACCUCUUAGUCACUUUUGCUACUCCUGGGAGGAUGACGGUCUUCUGUUGGGAACUGCCUUUGCUGAAUUACCGGAGCCCCAUAGGUGCU
rnacentral:lncRNA from 1 species